UGGGGAAUAUUGGGCAAUGGGCGAAAGCCUUACCCAGCAAUGCCGCGUGAGUGAAGAAGGUCUUCGGAUUGUAAAGCUCUUUGAUCAGGGACGAACACAAUGACGGUACCUGAAGAACAAGCCCCGGCUAACUACGUGCCAGCAGCCGCGGUAAUACGUAGGGGGCAAGCGUUGUCCGGAAUGACUGGGGCGUAAAGGGUGUGUAGGCGGGCUCGCAAGUUGGAUGUGUAAUACCCAGAGCUUAACUCGGGUGCUGCAUCUGAAACUACGAGUCUUGAGUGUCGGAGAGGUAAGUGGAAUUCCUAGUGUAGCGGUGGAAUGCGUAGAUAUUA
rnacentral:rRNA from 1 species